rnacentral:pre_miRNA from 1 species
GUUAUACUCCCUCCGUCCCAAAAUUCUUGUCUUAGAUUUGUCUAGAUACAGAUGUAUCUAAUACUAAAACGUGACUUGAUACAUCCAUAUUUAGACAAAUCUAAGACAAGAAUUUUGGGACGGAGGGAGUAUAAU